GGCCAAUUGAACUCGCCUGGAUUUCCAUCUUAGACUACAAAAUACUUGAAAAUAAUUAUGCUUAAUUUCUGUAUUGUAAUUAAGUAAAUUCUUGAUUUCAUUGAUCACAUGUACAAUUCAAAAAGACUAGCUCUUGCAAUAUAAAUUCUGCAAGCUGUCAUAUACUUAUGGUUUUUGCUCAUCAUCAUCAGUAGCAUUGCAAUGGAGGAAAGGCCCUAGCAAUCGCCCGCUAAAGAUCCUCUCUUACCUAAAGAAGAUAAAAGAGAUCCUCUUGAACUUGAACCCCUUUUUGAUAUGGUAGCCUUUGGACUGUAACACUUUUGAACAUCUAAAACCCCAGCAUAGCUCUUGAAUGACUUUAUUUUAGAUCUGUAUGGAGUCACAGUGGUCACUUUCUUUGCAAGAUCUUCUAAGCUCUUCACACGUGCUAGAGAUGUGUAAGACUGAGACUUCCCUUGAUAAAACUUUGAAAGACCUCUCCUGCAAUAGUUAAAUUCAUUAUUAGAUUAAUAAAAGAAUCCUAACUUUUCUAUAACCAUUUAUACUUACCUGAUGGGAAGUUGGGCCAUGAGCUCUGAUAAUUCAUAUAGAGGUCCAUUUGUAUGUGAUAUCAAUGUUGAUGAUGACGAUGUUGAAGAAGAUGCAUCUUCUACUAAAUCUAUUGAAGAGGAAGAAUCAGCUGAGUUUGUUGAAUCUUCCAUGGAGGAUUCAGCUGAUGUUGAUUCAUACUGAGAAGCACCAUCACCACCUUCCAUGGCUUCCCAGAAGGGAUCUUGCUCUUCUUUAUUAGGGUUUAUCUUCUGCAGAGUCAUAUCCAAAAAAUUUUGCUUUGCUGCUGCUUCUGCCAUUUUGAUGAUCACCAGCAACAAGCACGAGAGAAGUUAACGACAGAAGAAUAAUAAAGAUGAUGUUGUGGUCUCUUCAGAGAAAGCAUAUAUAUAUGAACAUGCUACACUUUGCCUGAUACCUAGUUGAUGAAUAAUAUACAGAUAAUAGCAAAUAUUAUUUUAUAGCAGAAAAGUUGGAAAGGGUAGCAUUG
rnacentral:misc_RNA from 1 species